rnacentral:lncRNA from 1 species
AUCGAUCGUGUCAACAAAUAAUAACUAAAUUAUAUAUUAUUAAAAAUGAGAGAUAAUUCUUGAGAAUUUUUCAGCUGGUUUUUGUGUAGUUGGGUGGGGUUGGUGUACUGUGUAGUGCAGCAAAGAAAGCCAAGACAAGAGAUCCAAGAUUAUUUCUCAAACCCAAAUUUUUCUUCCACUUUCUCAAACCUACAAUGUCAAUUUGGUGGGCUUUCAUGAUUACACUGUGCCCAGACGUGGAUGCCGAUUUGGUAGCUGGAAGUUGGCCGGAGAUGGAGAAAGUGAGUGGCGGACUUCUCUGCAAGGUUUUU